rnacentral:rRNA from 1 species
GACGAACGCUGGCGGCGUGCUUAACACAUGCAAGUCGAACGGAAAGGCCCUGCUUUUGUGGGGUGCUCGAGUGGCGAACGGGUGAGUAACACGUGAGUAACCUGCCCUUGACUUUGGGUAACUUCAGGAAACAGGGGCUAAUACCGGAUAGGAGCUCCUUCUGCCUGGUGGGGGUUGGAAAGUUUCGGCGGUUGGGGAUGGACUCGCGGCUUAUCAGCUUGUUGGUGGGGUAGUGGUUUACCAAGGCUUUGACGGGUAGCCGGCCUGAGAGGGUGACCGGCCACAUGGGGACUGAGAGACGGCCCAGACGGCUACGGGAGGCAGCAGUGGGGAAUAUUGCACAAUGGGCGGAAGCCUGAUGCAGCAACGCCGCGUGCGGGAUGACGGCCUUCGGGUUGUAAACCGCUUUCGCCUGUGACGAAGCGUGAGUGACGGUAAUGGGUAAAGAAGCACCGGCUAACUACGUG